AUUUGGGGUAGGAGGAGCUAACAUGUAUUGUGAGCUCACUACACAAGAGGCAAUAUUUAAACAUGCUAUUCAUACUCUAGCAUGUAAUCCUGAGGAACAUAUAAACAUAAUUUUCUCCAUUUUGCUGAUGAAGAAACUGAGUCACAGUUUCUAACAGUUUCACUCUAUGAAGUCAUCAAGUCAGAUUGUAGGAGAAAAAGAAACGAGACUGAAACUUCCAGGGGAGAGGACCUAGUACCGUCUCUACCUGAUUGUUUUCUGUACUGCAGAAAUUAGUUGCAUACACUUCUAAUGUUUGGUCAUCAUGGCUAUCUAUGUAUAUGGAUACAGCACCAUCUCCCUAUUCCAGGCUCGCAGUGGGAAAGACGAGGCACUGGAAUGUCACCAGGGAAGGGAUAGCAGCUGUCUCUUCAUCUUUCUUUCUCUCAGGGUUCACAAAACCCUGACUCCGCUUGCGUUGCACCACACUGUAUAGAUUGCAUUUAUUUGUUUCACUUGUAAAUUCUCAACAUAUUCGACCUCAAAUGUAUCUUUAGAUGCAGUAUAUUUUUCAAAUACAAUCACUGGUGAUAACAUUCUGUCGAAUGGCAUUUUUUAAAAAUCUGAAUAACCUUCCCUUACUUCCAUAAACAUAGUAAAUAUUUCUAGUAUUCAUUUCAUACAUUAGCUAUUGGCUAAAUUAGAAUAAAUAAUGUUCUUUACUCUGACAAGAGAAUUCAAAAUGAAUCUUUAUGAAGUCAGAUAGGAUUUGGCAAUUUUUUUUUUGGUUACCUAUUUAACAUGGCAGUAAAAUCAAAUUACCAAGGUCAAUAAACUAAUUUUUGAUUUCCUCAUAUGGACCAAUUAUGCGACCUGUGUAUCAUACCUGUCACACCAAACUUAUGCCACAUAGACCAUGUAGCAGACAUGUCAUAAAGAGUCAAAAGGAAAGUGUAACACAAUAAUCAAGUUUCUAUAAUGUUAAUAAAUGUUCAUUUUUAUGGAGAAAAAAAUUAAGUUUUCAAAUUUAAGUAAAGAAAAGAAAAAAUAGACAUUUCCACUUAAAAAUUGUUGUGUUUGAAUAGUUUUGGAAAUAUAUAAACAUAGCUUUAGUGAGGACCUUUAAUUAAUACAGCUCCUUGGUGUAUUUUUGUUUUGGAUUACAGAUUAUCAAAUGGAGGUCUGAAAAUAUUCUGAUGCAUAUAUAAUAUUAUCUUCUAUUUUAAAAGUAUAAAAUACUACAAUUUACUUUAAAUCUCUACUCUGUCUUGAAGCUAAACAUAAAUGUGUCAUUUUCAAAUUAUCAUAAUUGUUUUCUUUUCAUCUUCCAUUUACAUCUGCAAAGAAAAACUUUAUUUUUACCAUAUUA
rnacentral:lncRNA from 1 species